AAUGAACGCUGGCGGCAGGCCUAACACAUGCAAGUCGAACGGAUCCUUCGGGAUUAGUGGCGGACGGGUGAGUAACGCGUGGGAACAUACCCUUUGGUACGGAAUAGCCUCGGGAAACUGGGAGUAAUACCGUAUGUGGUCGAGAGACGAAAGAUUUAUCGCCAAAGGAUUGGCCCGCGUUGGAUUAGGUAGUUAGUGGGGUAAUGGCCUACCAAGCCGACGAUCCAUGGCUGGUUUGAGAGGAUGAUCAGCCACACUGGGACUGAGACACGGCCCAGACUCCUACGGGAGGCAGCAGUGGGGAAUCUUAGACAAUGGGGGAAACCCUGAUCUAGCCAUGCCGCGUGAUCGAUGAAGGCCUUAGGGUUGUAAAGAUCUUUCAGGUGGGAAGAUAAUGACUGUACCACCAGAAGAAGCCCCGGCUAACUCCGUGCCAGCCGCCGCUGUAA
rnacentral:rRNA from 1 species